rnacentral:rRNA from 1 species
UACGAAGGGAGCUAGCGUUGUUCGGAAUCACUGGGCGUAAAGCGCACGUAGGCGGAUGUGUCAGUCAGGGGUGAAAUCCCGGAGCUCAACUUCGGAACUGCCUUUGAUACAGCACGUCUUGAGUCCGAUAGAGGUGGGUGGAAUUCCUAGUGUAGAGGUGAAAUUCGUAGAUAUCAGGAGGAACACCGGCGGCGAAGGCGGCGCUCUGGGCCGGUACUGACACUGAGGAGCGAAAGCGUGGGUAGCAAACAGG